CACGCUGUAAACGAUGAGUACUAGGUGUCGGGGGUUACCCCCCUCGGUGCCGCAGCUAACGCAUUAAGUACUCCGCCUGGGAAGUACGCUCGCAAGAGUGAAACUCAAAGGAAUUGACGGGGACCCGAACAAGUAGCGGAGCAUGUGGUUUAAUUCGAAGCAACGCGAAGAACCUUACCUAAGCUUGACAUCCCAAUGACAUCUCCUUAAUCGGAGAGUUCC
rnacentral:rRNA from 1 species